UGAUAGCGUUAAUUGCCCUGCCGCGGUGCCAAAGUCUGCCGGGCUCCGUGCGGGGCAGAAUGAAAUGACAUAUUCCCUGCCCCAAGGAGUUCACAAUCUGAAGUGGAUCUGAGAGCGCCAGGGUGUGACACGGCACCGCGGGGUUGCCGCAGCAGAAAUGUUGCUGUUGGGGUGUGCGCACUGUGUUCGGGCAGGCCUGUGUUUAUCUCUAGAUGCGUACAUAUGUUAGCGUGAGUCAGGCCUUGUAGGUGUCGCUGUGAAAGGGGAGAAAGUGAUUUAGGCCCAGGGGUAACACACGCAGGGAGCCGAGUGCAAGGACGGCCAUGCACGAGGCAGCCUCAUCAAGAACAGUCCCAUGGGAUGGCAAACACAAGUACCCAGCUUCACGCGACCAAAAGCAGCAACAUGAGAGAUAUGCAGACCUUCAAAAGUAAAAACGAGACAUCUGUGAUGCAAAUGGGCACUUGCUGUGGUCAAGGGUUCGGUAAAGCACAGAGCUCGAACCAGCCAACUCCGUGAGGAGAUGGCUUUUGCAGCUGUACUCACCAGGGGUUGUAGGAAGACAAUCUGGGUGUUAAAGAGGUGCGAAUAAAGAUGGUCAUGAGUAUGAAGGAAGAACAUGAGGACACAGGCAAGAGGUUUACUUGCCAGGACAGACUGCAGGGAUCAGGCCUUAUGUGUGGGAAACAGACUGGUGAAGUCUUCUCCAGCCCGAGGUCUUACGAUGGAAAGAGAAUUCAUUAGGGCUCAAUUCACUUCAGAUCUGCAGAUGAGAGAAGAUGACAACUCCUAAGCCCUCAGAGUAGCAGCACGGAUCUGACCACACAAGGGUGUGACAGCACUGCAAGGCUGCAGCCACGGGGUUGCAGGAUCCACUCCCUGGGAAACAGUAAAAAUGCUCUCAUUAGCCUAUCUGGCAAUCGAAGCACACAGAACACCUUUUAAACUAAACAGUCCAUUUGGAAUACGGACUGGUGUUUGCAUGUAAGCAAGAGCAUUGCUGUAAUUUAAUUACUAAAUAGUAAAGUGGAAGGUUGUUGAGGGAAGUGACGGCUCUCUUCUCUUACAUUUUUUUUCGUGGGAUUGAAAAUGCAGGCAGAAGUAGAGCUCAGAAAGAAUGUUCCAUUUCUUCUGUCCAGACUCCUGUCUCUGGCAUUUGCUGUUGCUGAGGGCAAAAACAGCAUGGAUUUUGAAGGGGAUUAGACAGACGGGCUGGUUGAAAUGCCAGUCCCGGGCACUGGCCUGACAAUGGGUAUUUAAGGGAACUAAAAGCCUCUUGAGUAAUGGUUCCCAACUGAUGCAGCUCGACUUGUCCCACAGGUGAAAGGCAGAGCUGGAGUUGGUGGCUGUGCUCCCUCCCUGCUGGCAUGGCAUCCCUCACUGCAGGGAAAGCCUCCAGGGCAGGGUCAAAUGGGCCUCCCUCCUUCUUCCCUUCUCUAGCAGCCGAGCAUGCUUUCCUUACCACAUUUCCUCCCUGAACUUGACUCUUGAGUUCACCUGAGGCACCUGGCUUGCUUCUUUUUCUUUGUUAAGCAAGGAGAGAAAGGAACCCAGAAGGGAGAAAGCAGGCAGUGCUUACUGUUGGGCCUGGUGUGACUUCUCUACCAAGGUCACUCCAGCUCUGUUUCACCCCCUUCCCCACAGACCCCAGCAUUAUGCCAUUGUCUUCAGGGAUCAUUUCCCGAGUGUAAUCUUGGUAGUUGAAGGCUAUGCAAUGAGGUUUGCACUAAGAAUGUUACAAAGCAGUACUUUGGUGUAAGGCUGGAUAUGUAUGGGAGGAGGAUUCAUAAGUU
rnacentral:lncRNA from 1 species